GACGAACGCUGGCGGCGUGCUUAACACAUGCAAGUCGAACGAUGAAGCCGGAGCUUGCUCUGGUGAAUUAGUGGCGAACGGGUGAGUAACACGUGAGUAACCUGCCCUUGACUCUGGGAUAACUGCUAGAAAUGGUAGCUAAUACCGGAUACGACCCUCGGAGGCAUCUCCAGGGGGUGGAAAGAAUUUCGGUCAAGGAUGGACUCGCGGCCUAGCAGCUAGCUGGUGAGGUAACGGCUCACCAAGGCGACGACGGGUAGCCGGCCGGAGAGGGUGACCGGACACACUGGGACUGAUAUACGGCCCAGACUCCUACGGGAGGCAGCAGUGGGGAAUAUUGCACAAUGGGCGCAAGCCUGAUGCAGCGACGCCGCGUGAGGGAUGACGGCCUUCGGGUUGUAAACCUCUUUCAGCACCGACGAAGCGCAAGUGACGGUAGGUGCAGAAGAAGGACCGGCCAACUACGUGCCAGCCGCCGCCGUAA
rnacentral:rRNA from 1 species